rnacentral:rRNA from 1 species
CCUACGGGGGGCACCAGUGGGGUAUAUUGCACAAUGGGCGCAAGCCUGAUGCAGCCAUGCCGCGUGUAUGAAGAAGGCCUUCGGGUUGUAAAGUACUUUCAGCGGGGAGGAAGGCGAUAAGGUUAAUAACCUUGUCGAUCGACGUUACCCGCAGAAGAAGCACCGGCUAACUCCGUGCCAGCAGCCGCGGUAAUACGGAGGGUGCAAGCGUUAAUCGGAAUUACUGGGCGUAAAGCGCACGCAGGCGGUCUGUCAAGUCGGACGUGAAAUCCCCGGGCUCAACCUGGGAACUGCAUUCGAAACUGGCAGGCUGAGUCUUGUAGAGGGGGGUAGAAUUCCAGGUGUAGCGGUGAAAUGCGUAGAGAUCUGGAGGAAUACCGGUGGCGAAGGCGGCCCCCUGGACAAAGACUGACGCUCAGGUGCGAAAGCGUGGGGAGCAAGCAGGAUUAGAUACCCUCGUAGUC